rnacentral:rRNA from 1 species
GAUGAACGCUGGCGGCGUGCCUAAUACAUGCAAGUCGAGCGAACAGACGAGGAGCUUGCUCCUCUGACGUUAGCGGCGGACGGGUGAGUAACACGUGGAUAACCUACCUAUAAGACUGGGAUAACUUCGGGAAACCGGAGCUAAUACCGGAUAAUAUAUUGAACCGCAUGGUUCAAUAGUGAAAGACGGUUUUGCUGUCACUUAUAGAUGGAUCCGCGCCGCAUUAGCUAGUUGGUAAGGUAACGGCUUACCAAGGCAACGAUGCGUAGCCGACCUGAGAGGGUGACCGGCCACACUGGAACUGAGCCACGGUCCAGACUCCUACGGGAGGCAGCAGUAGGGAAUCUUCCGCAAUGGGCGAAAGCUUGACGGAGCAACGCCGCGUGAGUGAUGAAGGUCUUCGGAUCGUAAAACUCUGUUAUUAGGGAAGAACAAAUGUGUAAGUAACUAUGCACGUCUUGACGGUACCUAAUCAGAAAGCCACGGCUAACUACGUG